CCCUGUUACCACAAGGAUAACUGGCAUGUGGCAGCCAAGCGUUCAUAGCAACGUUACUUAUUGAUCCUUCGAAGUCGGCUCUUCCUAUCAAACUGAAACAGAAUUCAGUAAGCGUUGGAUUGUUUACCAACUAAUAGGGAACGUGAGCUGGGUUUAGACCGUCGUGAGAAGGUUAAUU
rnacentral:ncRNA from 1 species